AUUUGUUCCUGAUGGCUAUUGGGUAGCCUCUUAUAUCACUAGUAAGUUUAAAGAGCAAGUAUGUGCUUCUGGUACUACAUGGAGGCAUGUAGACCAGGAGAUGAAGACAUUUUAUUACAAUGAAUUCGUAAAAAGGUAUACAUGGAAAGAUGGCCAAGAAGAACAGUUUAAAGCUACAUGGAAUAGUUAUUGUGCUAAAUUGUACAGAGACCUCAUGUAUUAUAUCAAGAAAAAAGGCACCAGGCCAGCGUAUAUUUCAAAGACGACAUGGAGUGCAUGGACGACCACUUAGGCUGCAGAAAGAUGGCGAGAAAAUGCUGAAAAGGCUCGAUCUAAUAGAAAUACAUAGCCAGGUGGCCCGAGCACCGGAAUCGCUCGACAUACGUCAGGAUCGAAAUCUAUUGUUGAGCAUGCUAUGGAUUUGGAGCAUGAUCUUGCUUGGCAGCCCACAUGCAUGGAGGUAUUUCUGAAGACCCAUAAGAAGAAAGAUGGGACAUUUGUCGAUUCUCGAUCUCGGACCCUACACGUGUCAGGGUGUACAUAUUCAGCACGAUCAUCAUCAUCAUCAUCAUCAUUUUCUUUCUAUCUAGG